CAGAGAGACGGGUUGCCUCACAGCUGCCGAACUGAGACCUUUCAGUAUCAAAUGCAGGCUUAGAAAAAUGCUGAUCACGAGAAAGCCUCUGGAGCAACAAGAGAAAUCUAUCCCUAUAUAAAGUGGCUUUGGCAGAAGCAUCACCAUGGAUUGGAAUCUUUCCUGUAUGCCUACAAUUCAAAAAAUAAAAAUGGCAUAACUAACACCACCUAGUCAAAUGUUUAAAUUAAUCAUUACAAUUGCAAGGCAGCAAGUCUGAUAUCUAGCUCCAUGUACAAAGAAGUUCCAAAACUCCACUAAUCCAAGUUCCAAAGAUCCCAAUAGAAAGAUAAAUUAGGAAUGUGGGUAACAAAAUUGUUUCCCAAUAGAAAAUCAAAUUUGGCUUGGAUUUGUCAAGAUUAUGCAAGAUCAAGUGUCUAUGAAGACUCUAGGUUGGACGCCGUAUCCUUAGUGCAACUUUAGGACGUACUUCAAGGAGCCCACUGUGGUCAAGCACCAGAUCAAUCGUAGCGGCGUCGACAAGAAACCAGUUUUUGUCAAGCCAACUGCUGUGCCUCAUUUCAAGGUUCCGAACUAUUGCAUGUCAGGGCUUAUUGGGUGAUUUAGAUUCACCCUUUUGACAUUGUGUUUAAGAGAUAAGAAUGUUUAUUGAGUUUUGUUAAUUGUUUUUGGCAAUGGGAUUUAAUUCCUUAGCUUGUGGUUUGUU